GCCUAACACAUGCAAGUCGAACGGUGAAGGAGAGCUUGCUCUCCGGAUCAGUGGCGAACGGGUGAGUAACACGUGAGCAAUCUGCCCCUGACUCUGGGAUAAGCGUUGGAAACGACGUCUAAUACCGGAUACGAGCUGCGAAGGCAUCUUCAGCAGCUGGAAAGAACUUCGGUCAGGGAUGAGCUCGCGGCCUAUCAGCUAGUUGGUGAGGUAAUGGCUCACCAAGGCGUCGACGGGUAGCCGGCCUGAGAGGGUGACCGGCCACACUGGGACUGAGACACGGCCCAGACUCCUACGGGAGGCAGCAGUGGGGAAUAUUGCACAAUGGGCGAAAGCCUGAUGCAGCAACGCCGCGUGAGGGACGACGGCCUUCGGGUUGUAAACCUCUUUUAGCAGGGAAGAAGCGAAAGUGACGGUACCUGCAUAAACCAGCGCCGGCUAACUACGUGCCAGCAGCCGCGGUAAUAC
rnacentral:rRNA from 1 species